rnacentral:lncRNA from 1 species
CUUUGUUAAAUGAACAAAGAACUUAAGAAGAAAGCACAAAGGCAUGGACACUUAAUAUGCCAUGAUUCUUCACUUACAAUUUGUUGUAUGAAGAAAUGAGAGUUGCCUUGUACAACUCUUGAAAGUUUGUAGUUAUGUUUAGAACAUAAUGGUUGGUUGACAAAAAUAGUCCAUCAACAUGGACUUAUGAUGAUUUUGAAUCAUUGAGUGUUGAAGUGUUAAAACACUUCUAGAGACGGGAACUAGGCAAGGACUUCACCUUUGUGUCCCUAUCCUUAUGGUUCACUAAGUUUAUUGUAAACUAUAUAAAUGAACAAUAACCACAUGCUCUCCAAAAUGUUUGAUGUGUAUAACACAAUUGAAAUAAGUUUCAAGAGAGAUAGUG